rnacentral:rRNA from 1 species
AUGCCCUAGUAACGGCGAGGAAGCGGCAACAGCUCAAAUUUGAAAUCUGGCUCUUUCAGGGUCCGAGUUGUAAUUUGUAGAGGGUGCUUUGGAGUUGACUGUGGUCUAAGUUCCUUGGAACAGGACGUCGCAGAGGGUGAGAAUCCCGUAUGUGGCCGCCAGUCUUCUCCGUGUAAAGCCCCAACGACGAGUCGAGUUGUUUGGGAAUGCAGCUCUAAAUGGGAGGUAAAUUUCUUCUAAAGCUAUAUAUUGGCCAGAGACCGAUAGCGCACAAGUAGAGUGAUCGAAAGAUGAAAUGCACUUUGGAAAGAGAGUCAAAAAGCACGUGAAAUUGUUGAAAGGGAAGCGCUUGCAGCCAGACUUCCCUGUAGUUGCUCAUCCGGGCCUUUGCCCGGUGCACUCUUCUAUAGGCAGGCCAGCAUCAGUCGCGGCGGUUGGAUAAAUCUCUGCACAAUGUACCUCACUUCGGGCAGGACAUUUAGGGCAGGCGGCAUACAACCAGCUGCGAUUGAGGUCCGCGCAUCUGCUAGGAUGCUGGCCUAAUGGCUGUAAGCGGCCCGUCUUGAUGCACGGACCAAGGAGUCUAACAUCUAUGCGGGUGUUUGGGUGUCAAGCCCGAGCGCGUAAUGAAAGUGAACGGAGGUGGGAACCCCUCGGGGUGCACCAUCGAGCGAUCCUGAUGUAAUU